CAUUACGUCGCAAAUCCGGGAUUUCAAAGGCUUGUCCAGCUGUUUACUGAGAGGAAGAGAGUUACAGACGAAGAAUAUAAAACAUUUUUGUUAAAGAUCAUGCUUACCAGCACCAACGUGUCCUUCAUGGAAAGGGUGGAAUAGGGGCUUGAAAUCCUAAUGGUCGCAUGGGUCUCACAUUACACCGCCCAUUACACCGCCCUAACUACACAAUGAACCAUUAGACACGUGGAAGACUGAGAAGGAUCCUCGUCCGGGAGUGUUAUUUUAUUCUUAACUCUGUAAAUGGAUUAAAAUGAAACUCUGACUGAGGAGUUUACUUGUUGAAGAGCUUCAGUUCUCAUCACUCAAGACGUCCAUGGUAAAGAGAGAAUGACUUAUGAUUAUAUUAACAUUUAUUAUGAGAGGAUUCGUGGAUCACCAAAUAUAUUUGCGGGUAAUCUUUUUUUGUUAAUUAAAUAUAAUUCAACUGUAAAAAUAUGCAAUUAAUUCUUUACAGUCAGAAUAUAACCUGAUCCACUAUAACCUAAAACCGCUGUAUUAUUUAGUAAAGAUUAAUUUUGUGUGUGUUCCCUGUGUGAUAUUAAUUAUAAAUGUUGGUAGAUGUUCACAUCGUGCUUCUUUGAGGACAAUAAGAAGAUGUUGUGAUGUAAGAAACACGAGGUCUGUUUGAAGAGUUUUUAAGGUUCGGUUGGAAGAACCGUCCGAAGGGACAGAAAUUCUGACCAACCGGCAACUCUGCGCACUCAGACUUUGAGGAGCGCUCCCGUUUACUCCGUGACGGUUUAGUUCUGUUGCAUCGUCAAAUCGAUGAGUGUUUGAGGCUCUCAGGCAGACAUCAAGAAUUAAAGAUGGGGGGAAAAAAACAUAAAAUCAGACGAUAUUUAUUCAUGUAAAAGAGGAAGAAUAAACAACCAGAGACUAUUUAUUGCAUUAACUACACAAAUGAAUUCUCUCCACAAGUGAGUCUCAAUAAAAGAGAACGAAGCGUUAAUUUAAGAUAUAAACAUUUUAAAAAGAAAAUAGAACAUGUGUGACUAACUGUACCAUCCGGGGGGUCAGUGUAAAAUAGUAAACAGCAAAUAGUCAGAAAAACCAGCAGAAUUCCACCUCAAACGAAUCAGAGCAAAUAAAAUGUCUAAAACUCACACAAUACAAAAGCACAAGCAAGAUGGCUGCUCCGUAUGUUACAGCAGGAAGCCCCACAAGAGAAUCAGACAUAGAAAGGCCCAACUGACUUAAUAAAAACACUAAUAAGAGGAAAAAACAUUGGGUGUCUAAUGUGUUUAAAACAAAAACACAUUUAUAUUCAAAGAAAACAUUUACAAAACAUUUCAUGCAUUCAAGCAGAACCGGCUUCAUCAUGAUCCCUUCCCCCAGUUCACUGUAAAAACGAAUUUUGGAAGGUAAUGUCAGGGAUGCGGGUGGGAGGCAGGACUCAAAUGCAGACUUGUCAGGAAACACAAGGACUUUAAUAGUCAAAGAUCCAAAAUCCAAAAGGCCAAGGGGCAAAAACACACAGGCAUGAAACUACGACUAUCCACAACAAGAGACACGGACAUGCGUGGCGAAAGACAAUGACGCGACAAGUGACACAAGAGACACACGGCUUAAAUACACAAGGGAGGUGCAGGUGAUUGGACACAGGUGGAAACUAUUAGACGAUCACAGGGGAUGACGAGACAAGGCAGGAAGUGAAGUUACCCGGGGACACGAGUGGCAGAAAACUACAAAAUACAACAGGAAGUGAACCACACCGUGACAGGUAAUUAUUACCCAUGCAAAUCGUUUACAUUUUAUUGUUGUAUUAGUCAGCAAACAAAAUUUUUCAACAGUCACAACUGCAGCCUAAUAAAAUAUUUUGAAGUAAAGCUUACCUUCCCUGAAUAAGUAAUUGUUAAUAAGUCAUGUUGUUCAAUUUUUAAUAACAAUUAUUGGGUAUUAAGUGCUUACAAUCUAAAGUAUAUUUUAUGUGGCAAGCCCAUGCGUGGGUUUCCACGUCACUGUUCAAGAGCACAAGCCGGCCUCUGGGUAGUUCAACAGUUUAUUCAGAGUAAAUUGAUCGUGUAGGAGGAUAAGCUCAACACCACGUCACCGUGUCCAAGUCGUUCUCGUAGUCUUCUUCUACCACGUGGUACACAAACGGGUCCUCUUCCAAAGCAGUUCGGUACACGGGAGGGUUGUCAGCCAGUCCAGGUUAAUCCAGUUAAUCUUACACUCUUCUUUUUUUCUACUUUCUCUACUACGUCUCACUUGGUCUUGCUUUACUUUAAAUGUGGUGAAAUCUUCCCAAACAAACAUUGCAAAGCAAAUUGUUACCUCACAGUUAUUGAGUAGAUUCUAUAGGUUGUUUUUUACAGUGAUGGAACAGGUGAUUGGACUAACUGUCAAUCGCCAAGCCUGAUAAAUGUAUUAGUUAAAUGUGGUUAACUAAUGAUAUUCAGUAUUAAAGUCAUGUUCUUAGGUAUAAUGAUGAAUCCACACUGUGACUUAAAACCCGUUGAUUUUGUGUUGUUUGGAAGUCUGGAAUUUAACGGCAGUUUAUUCUUAUGAGAGACUAUGAGUGAAACAUCUUCAGGGAAACCAGCUUUACUUUGUGGUUGUAGUUCUCAGGGAGGUCGUCAUUAGCAUCAACGCUUUGUGUGUUUGUAACAAGCAAGAUGAGAAACACAAAAGAGCAUCACGAUGUAAAGACACACUGUAGAUUAUUGAUGUAAUAUUUGAGCCUCUUCUUCUCUGUCUCCUCUCACAUGAAGGAUAUGAUCUGCAGGAUCCUGGUGAUCUUCAUCCUGACCUCCUGUUUCUGUGGUGAGUUCAGUUUGUGUUUGUGAAGCAUCAGCACACACUCCUCAGAAACAUCUGGAGAUGGAGUCUAAAGGCUCCACGUUGAAGCUGUCAGUUUGUCACCUCCUCCUCUCCUUCUCUGUCUCCUCAGGGUCAUUUGUAGUGAAUGUGACACAGAGCUGGUAUCAUGCAGAGGAGAACCACAACAUCUCACUGGAAUGGAUGUUCCCCACCAGCACGGACCACUCCCCCAACUCCCUUCAUAUCACCUGUCAGAUGUUAUAUUCUGAUAGACCUUUAGUCCUGUUUCAUCUAUAUGAAGGUGUCGAGGUCCCAGAGUUUCAGGAUAAACGCUUUGCAGGACGAGUCCAGUGGGACAAAGACGUCCUCAGAGAAGGACGACUCAGACUUCACAUCUCCAGACUCCAGACUAAUGACUCGGGGCUGUACUGGUGUGAAGUGGACACAAGUUAUGGGAGGAACUAUAAGGAAUGUCACCUCAAUGUCACUGGUAGGUUCAUAAAGUUAAACUUACUCAACAUGUUUAAUUUAGCAGCUUUAUUCAGAUGAACAAACCUUUUUCUUUACAUUAAUAAAAUAGAUUUGUUGGGUCUCUUUGCAGCAGUGAAGGAUCGGCCCGAACAUGAGACAACGAGUGAUACGAGUCUGAGAGGAGAUCCUCGAGGAAGGAUCGGUCUCUGUGCACUGGGACCAGCAGCAGCUCUACUUGCUUCCUUUUUUUGCCUGUGCAUUGCCAAAAAGAUUUAUGAUCAGCAGAACAAACGAUGCAUCAGAACCACAAUUGAAGUCAUUGAUCCUUUAAUUGUUUGCACAGAAACAGUCUCAAACUGUUCUGACUGAAGUCCAGCUGAGACACAUCUGGAUCCUCGGAUGUGUCAUGUGUGUCUCAUGAAUCAACAGCAGCCAGCAUGAAGGUCUCAGCUACUUGUUUCCUUCUCUUGUCUCUGCAUUGCAAAAAAAAGAUUCCUUCAAGUGUUUGCACAGAAAGAGUCGUAGGAUCCAGGGGCGGAAUGGCCGUCUGGGAUACUCGUGGUUGAACGACGUGGUUUUGGCUCUCCUGCUGACAUUUUGGGCCCUGUAGUAUUCUAUGCUUCACAGAACAGUUAUAUUUAGUUAUUUAUUUAUUUAUAUUUUAAAUCUUAAGGAAUUACUGACGGAGAUUUCUUGCGAUCUGUAUUCAUGUUUUCUAAUCUCUUCCGUCACUCUAGCAUUAUCAUAUGAAAAAAACGUAUCAUUACGUAUUAUUUAUAUCUUCUCCCACAAUUUAUCCAGCGUUCUGAUUGGUUGAUAGUGAGUUACGGGGAUGUGCAUUAUUUAGCGAUAAUGUACAGUUGCUGUUCACAUUGACCCGAGCGAUAUCACUCCGCACUCAAAGUAACUAUGGGGCUCCGUUUGUAAAACGCCGCACGUUCUAAAAUCCUGCGCAGUUUUGCUACAUUUAGCAUAUGAACAAAUAAGCACGACAAUAUUCACAUGUCACUUUUUCAAACAUUUAGAGAGAAAUUCAUGUACAUUCAUGCAAUAACUUUUCCAAGGACAAUGUUUGGCAGUAACAAAGUUGUUAAAUAAUAUAUUUUAAUAUAUUAUUUCUAUAUAGACCCCACAUAGCAUUCUUUUUAUGUUUUAUUUGAAUUAAAAUUGCCUUUGAGUACUAUGAAAAGGGCUAUACAAGUAUUAUUAUUUUCAAUACAGUGCACAUUCACCAUUAAUUAAUUAACUAAUAUGAAUAACUCCUUACCAAAAGCUAGAAUUAUUAAUUACUCAGGAAAGGUGGGUAAAAACCAUCAAACGAAAACACUGUUUUCUUGUUUUUCGUUUGAAACCAAAACUGGUAAAACGUUUUUUUUUCUCACUAGACAACAAGCAUAAAGAGAUUAUUUCAUUGCUUCCAUGUGACCUUUAAUGUGACCCUCAGAGUGACCUCUGGAGCUGUGGACGGAUGCACAUCGUCAGACUAGAAUUGGGUUGGGAACCAUUGCAACAGACUACCUGCUCUUUAGCAUGUUGGACACACCAGCAUGACACUGUUACAGAAAAUGCAUUUCACGCCAAAUAACACUGAUCUGCUGAAGCCUGUUUUGGGAGGAGGUUGUUUUAAAACUGUGAUUGUGAUCUUCUUGAUCUUUUUCUUUAACUGAUAACUUAAAGAGCCAAGUUCAAUUAACACAAACACAUCUCAAAGAAGUCAACACAAAGCAUUACUGUAAGUUUAAGUGUUAACUUGAACAGUUAAGUUCAAAUCUAAAACUUGUCAGAGCUCUUUGAGUUAAAGACAAGAAGAAAGUGGACAUAACUAAACGGGGCGGUGAUGUUUUACAGUGCGGUUCGACCUGUGUUCUCGGUGUCCUUGCGCUCCAGUGCCUCACAGCAGCACACUGCUAAGGCUGCGUAAAAUGCAGAGAAUCAUUUCCCCAUGUGGGAUUAAUAAAGGAUUAUAAAUAAAAUUAUUAUUUUUUUAAAAACACAUUUCCCCCAGCCCCUCGCUCAGCACCUGUAAUACCUCUGCGCCCCACAGUUUGAGAACCACUGCUUUAAGUGUUUGCACAGUAACAGUCUGAGGUGUUCUGACUGAAGUCCAGCUGAGACACAUCUGGAUCUUUGGAUGUUUCAUGUGUGUCUCAUGGAUCAACAGCACCAUGAAGGUCUCAGUGGACGUCUACAGAGACAAUUGUGACAAAUUGACCAGGUAGCACUACAUUAUCACUUAUGAUGGCGCUUACUGCUUAUAGCACUUUUUACAGAUUAGAUUUCUUGAAGAAUGUGUACUUUCCUGAUUGUUGUUGUUCUGGUUCUGUUCCCUCUUGAUUGAAUUAGCUUAUAAGUCACUUUGGAUCAAAUCAUUGGCUGGGUGAUAAAUGUAAAGCACUUUGACGGGUCUGAGACUAGAAAAGCGAUUUAGUCAAUUUACCAUUUAGUGUGUUUAUGUCCAUUAACCUUAUUGUAUUUGUACAAAAGAAAUGUGAUAAAUGCCUUUAACGUGUAACCAAAAUUGUGUAUUUCAUGUACGUUCUGUGUUGGAAUGGAGUCCUUGUAUAUAUAUUUAUAGACAUGAUAAAAAGUGUCUUAAAAACCCCAAUCAGCCUCUUCAUUUGUUGUAUUAAUUCAAUAAGUCAGUGAGUGAUCAAAACCAUCCUCAAAAAUACAAAUGUAUCACAUGAAGGUAAAUGUUAAGCCAGAGGCACAGAUUAAAUACACAUAGCAUACAAAGUACACACACUUCUAAUCAUUCUGCAGUAAACACCCUUUUAUUUCAUAAUCUGAUCACUGAAGAAGACAAGUGCUUAAGUUUUAACUUUAUAAGUAAGAACAAACUUUUAAAAAUAACAAUCAGCCAUAUUACAGGCUACAUAGAUGAGCUGCUAGGCUUAACCUGCUUGUUAUAAGAGGUAUAAAAUCAUCCUUAUUGACACACUAACAUGUAACGGUGUUUUUGUUUUUUUAUAUUUUACUCAUUAAGACUGUAAAACACAAGACACGUGAGACAAGUACGGAGAAGUGACAGCAGGUCUGCGUUAAGAGGAGACGUCCAGGUGCAGGUGGACACCUGGUAGGUGUGACGUGAGGCCUCAGAGGCCUUGAAGGGGACUUUCCCCCUCUGUGCUUCUGUGGGGACAUUCCUGAAUCUGCCGACUCUCUGGGACAAUAAGAAGGACAGUUUGAGAGGAGAACAGAGUUGGUGAAAAUGUGUUAGAGUGACCGGAGACGGAGAAGCUGUAGAUUAAGAUCUGACUCAGGAGCAGUCGUCAUUAGUGGCGAUUGAAAAGUUCUCUGCGGUGUAGAAAAAUGACCUCUAGCCUCUAGCUCUAACAAAUUCAGCUCCAUAUUACUGCAGAUAAAUGAAUAAAAGAAAGUUGCAGUAAGGAAAUGUCCUCAUUUUGAGGCAUUUAGAAACCUAUUUAAUAACCUC
ensembl:lncRNA